rnacentral:rRNA from 1 species
AUUGAACGCUGGCGGCAGGCCUAACACAUGCAAGUCGAGCGGAUGAAGGGAGCUUGCUCCUGGAUUCAGCGGCGGACGGGUGAGUAAUGCCUAGGAAUCUGCCUGGUAGUGGGGGAUAACGUCCGGAAACGGACGCUAAUACCGCAUACGUCCUGAGGGAGAAAGUGGGGGAUCUUCGGACCUCACGCUAUCAGAUGAGCCUAGGUCGGAUUAGCUAGUUGGUGGGGUAAAGGCCUACCAAGGCGACGAUCCGUAACUGGUCUGAGAGGAUGAUCAGUCACACUGGAGCUGAGACACGGUCCAGACUCCUACGGGAGGCAGCAGUGGGGAAUAUUGGACAAUGGGCGAAAGCCUGAUCCAGCCAUGCCGCGUGUGUGAAGAAGGUCUUCGGAUUGUAAAGCACUUUAAGUUGGGAGGAAGGGCAGUAAGUUAAUACCUUGCUGUUUUGACGUUACCAACAGAAUAAGCACCGGCUAACUUCGUG